rfam:Triticum aestivum genome assembly, contig: Triticum_aestivum_CS42_TGACv1_scaffold_423205_5BS
UAGCUACUCUCUCCGUCCGAAAAUACUUGUCAUCAAAAUGGAUAAAAAUAGAUGUAUCUAGAACUAAAAUACGUGUAUAUACAUCCCCUUUUAUCCAUUUUGAUGACAAGUAGUUCCGGACGGAGGGAGUAUGAA